AUACAAUUAACGGCACGAAGGUUCGCCGGGGAUAACAGGUCAACCGAUGAUCGGAGCUCUCAUCCUGUCAUUGUAGUGGUACCUCCAUGUCGACUCAUAGCUGCCUUG
rnacentral:rRNA from 3 species